GGAAANAAAGGGCCUUUCGGGGUUGUUAAAGUAACUUUUCAGCAGUGAGGAAGGUGGGGUAUGUUAAUUAGCAUAUUCAUUUGACGUUAGCUGCAGAAGAAGCCCCGGCUAACUCCGUGCCAGCAGCCGCGGUAAUACGGAGGGUGCGAGCGUUAAUCGGAAUUACUGGGCGUAAAGCGCAUGCAGGUGGUUUGUUAAGUCAGAUGUGAAAGCCCGGGGCUCAACCUCGGAAUUGCAUUUGAAACUGGCAAACUAGAGUACUGUAGAGGGGGGUAGAAUUUCAGGUGUAGCGGUGAAAUGCGUAGAGAUCUGAAGGAAUACCGGUGGCGAAGGCGGCCCCCUGGACAGAUACUGACACUCAGGUGCGAAAGCGUGGGGAGCAAACAGGAUUAGAUACCCUGGUAGUCCACGCCGUAAACGAUGUCUACUUGGAGGUUGUGGCCUUGAGCCGUGGCUUUCGGAGCUAACGCGUUAAGUAGACCGCCUGGGGAGUACGGUCGCAAGAUUAAAACUCAAAUGAAUUGACGGGGGCCCGCACAAGCGGUGGAGCAUGUGGUUUAAUUCGAUGCAACGCGAAGAACCUUACCUACUCUUGACAUCUACAGAAGCCAGCGGAGACGCAGGUGUGCCUUCGGGAACUGUAAGACAGGUGCUGCAUGGCUGUCGUCAGCUCGUGUUGUGAAAUGUUGGGUUAAGUCCCGCAACGAGCGCAACCCUUAUCCUUGUUUGCCAGCACUUCGGGUGGGAACUCCAGGGAGACUGCCGGUGAUAAACCGGAGGAAGGUGGGGACGACGUCAAGUCAUCAUGGCCCUUACGAGUAGGGCUACACACGUGCUACAAUGGCGCAUACAGAGGGCGGCCAACUUGCGAAAGUGAGCGAAUCCCAAAAAGUGCGUCGUAGUCCGGAUUGGAGUCUGCAACUCGACUCCAUGAAGUCGGAAUCGCUAGUAAUCGUGGAUCAGAAUGCCACGGUGAAUACGUUCCCGGGCCUUGUACACACCGCCCGUCACACCAUGGGAGUGGGCUGCAAAAGAAGUGGGUAGUUUAACCUUCGGGAGGACGCUCACCACUUUGUGGUUCAUGACUGGGGUGAAGUCGUAACAAGGUAACCG
rnacentral:rRNA from 1 species